rfam:Apaloderma vittatum contig9912, whole genome shotgun sequence.
GGCCGGUUAGCCCAGUGGUGUGAGCACGGUGCUGACAACAAUGACAACACCGAGAUCGCGGGUUCGAUUCCCGCUUGGUCCC